AGCCCGUAGCUCAGUGGUGGAACAUCUGCUUUGCAUGCUGAAGGUCCCAGGUUCGAGCCCCAACAUCUCCAGGUAGGGCUA